rnacentral:rRNA from 1 species
AGAAUCAACGCUGGCGGCGUGCCUAACACAUGCAAGUCGAACGAGAAAGUGGAGCAAUCCAUGAGUAAAGUGGCGCACGGGUGAGUAACACGUGACUAACCUACCCUUGAGUGGGGGAUAACCUAGGGAAACCUGGGCUAAUACCGCAUAAUACCUUCGGGCCAAAGGAGCAAUUCGCUUAAGGAGGGGGUCGCGGCCGAUUAGUUAGUUGGCGGGGUAAUGGCCCACCAAGACUGUGAUCGGUAU